UAUUUAUUUUAUUAUAUUUAUUUUUUGUUUAUUUAAUUAUUUAAUAAAAAUAAUUUUGUUGAAUUUUGUCUUAGUAUAUUUUGUAGAAUUGAUUUUUUAUAUUAUAGUUUAUUGGUAAUGUAAUUGUUUUAUGAAAUAUUAUUUUAAAUUUUUAAAAGUAGAUUUUAUUUAUUGUACCUUUUGUAUCAGGGUUUAUCAAAAUUUUAGUAUUUACUUUACUUGUCUCGAUUUGGGUUGAUUUAUAAAUAAUUUAUAGUUAAUGUAUCAUAAUUCUUAUUAAAUUAUUUAUAGAAAUGAGAUGUUAACCGUUCCCCAAGAUAUCUAGUUUCUUAAGAAAAAAUUUAAUUUUUUAAAGUUAAUUGUUUUUAUUUAAUUUUUUAAGUAUAAAUAUUAACUUAUUUAUUCUUUAAGGGAUAAGCUUUGAAGUUAAUAACCUAUAAUUUGUUUUAAUAAAAUAUAAUAGUAAGCUUUAAACCAGCUAUCUUUAAGAUUACGUUUUAGUUCAUUAUUUUUAUUUUUGAUUUUGUAACUAUUUUAGGUUUUUUAUUAAGAUUAUAAAUUUAAUUUUUAAAUUUUUGUAAUAAUGAUAGAAUUAGUAUAUUUAUUUGUAUAUAAUUUUUACCUUGUUAAUUUAUUAUAAGGAACUAGGC
rnacentral:rRNA from 1 species